GAGUUUGAUUAUGGCUCAGGAUGAACGCUGGCGGCGUGCUUAACACAUGCAAGUCGAACGGGGUCUUAUCGGAAGCUGCCUUCGGGCAGUGGAAGAAAAGACUGAGUGGCGGACGGGUGAGUAACGCGUGGGUAACCUACCCUGCACAGGGGGAUAACAGUCGGAAACGAUUGCUAAUACCGCAUAAGCGCACAAGGAUGCAUGUCCAUGUGUGAAAAGAAUUAUCGGUGCAGGAUGGACCCGCGUCUGAUUAGAUAGUUGGUGAGAUAACAGCCCACCAAGUCGACGAUCAGUAGCCGAUCUGAGAGGAUGAGCGGCCACAUUGGGACUGAGACACGGCCCAAACUCCUACGGGAGGCAGCAGUGGGGAAUAUUGGACAAUGGGGGCAACCCUGAUCCAGCGACGCCGCGUGAGUGAAGAAGUAUUUCGGUAUGUAAAGCUCUAUCAGCAGGGAAGA
rnacentral:rRNA from 1 species